UACGGGGGAGGCAAGCGUUGUUCGGAAUUACUGGGCGUAAAGGGCUCGUAGGUGGUCAACUAAGUCAGACGUGAAAUCCCUCGGCUUAACCGGGGAACUGCGUCUGAUACUGGAUGGCUUGAGUUUGGGAGAGGGAUGCGGAAUUCCAGGUGUAGCGGUGAAAUGCGUAGAUAUCUGGAGGAACACCGGUGGCGAAGGCGGCAUCCUGGACCAACACUGACACUGAGGAGCGAAAGCCAGGGGAGCAAACGGG
rnacentral:rRNA from 1 species